ensembl:lncRNA
GUGCAGUUCCCCAGUAGACACACGUGGGGGCGCUGUUCUGUCUUGUUGAUGGAGCAUUGAGCGACGAGAAGAAGACUGACAUACCGACUUAAAAAAAAGGCGCGGGCGCGGAUCAGAGACGGGUGACUAGUUGUUGAUGCAAUGACACUGAUGGAAGAACUUUUAAAACAUAUUAGACGUUCAAAUACACACAAGAGCAGAAGGAAAAUUGUGAAAUGGACGCAGAAACGUGGUAUCCUGACGACGACGAUGAAAUGCGCAAAAUGCAACCGUCUCAUGCGUCUGGUGAAAUGCCAUGUCAAGGAUGGGCUGUGGUGAUUUGCCCAAGGUUUGCAAUUGAAGCAACUUGCCAUGAUCAGUGACAGGAUAGCAGCAAGCUCCAGGACAUUGACAAGAAUGGCAAAAGUACUCCGAAAGGUGUGCAUUGCUGCUGUGAAGCGACUGAGGAAAAGAUGUAUGAGGUUUGGUGGUCGUCAUCGAUUCGUUGUUAUUGACGAGAGCAAAUUUGCCCACAAACGAAAGUACCAUCGUGGUCGAUGUGGCAACACUUGGCGCCGUGAACGGCGGUGGGUCUUUGGGAUGUUGGAGGUUGAUAGGAAGUCCAGAAGACCCAUUCUGAGACUCGUCAGGGAUCGCAGAAGGAAGACACUUAUAGGUCAUAUUACACGCCAUGUCAGACCCAGAACAUCCAUCCUCAGUGAUGAAUGGCGUGCCUACAAAGGGCAACUUGCCCAGUAUGGGUAUGAUCAUUAUUCGGUCUGCCAUAAAAACAACUUUGUGGACCGAGAGACUGGUACUCAUACUCAUAUAUACGCAUAUUGAGCGUGCAUGGCAAAGCUACAAGCUGGAAGUAUGGCGUCACAGAGGGAAUCGUACUCCUGAAUCACUCAAGCUUCAUCUUAAGAUGAUAGAGUGGCACCACUGGUUGGGUGUACACCAUUAAAAUGGUGUGUUGGGAAGACUUAUGCAUCUAUGUUGUGGCGUUAAACUCAUUAUAUGUUCUCCUGAGCAGAUCCUUGCUUGUGUUUUACAAACUGUCACUGGAUGAACAUCACAACAAAAUGUUUUGUUUUGAAAUACAUAAAGGAAAAACUAUCUCUUGACUU